rnacentral:tmRNA from 1 species
GGGGACGUAAGGCUUUCGACAGGAGUCUGCGUUUAGUUGUCACAAACCGAGGGUUGUCUCGUUAAUCAACGCACAAUGAUAAGUGUAAAAAACAAAAUCGUCGCUUUUGCAGAGAAUAUUAAAGCAAGUUUGGCUAUGCCAAAUUUCAACUUUAACUUUGCUGCUUAAAGUCUAGCCAAUUAAGUUUGACUAGUGUCUUUAUCCUUAUUCUUAGUUAGGGGUAAAAGAUAGUCGUUACUAGGAUAUAUUAUUACUAUUUUGUCAGUAGAGUAGUAUGUAUGAAUUUAAUUACUGAGUAGAUAUAUCUUUUUGCUAAUCUUUUUAGAUAUGUCUAGCUAUACAGGAUUAGAUAUGUUUGUACAUGAUGCUAAGCAAAACUUUUGGACGUGGAUUCAAUUUCCACCGUCUCCACCA